AUACGGAGGGUCCAAGCGUUAUCCGGAUUUAUUGGGUUUAAAGGGAGCGUAGGCGGAUGGUUAAGUCAGUUGUGAAAUUUUUCGGCUUAACCUUGAAAGUGCAGUUGAUACUGGACGGCUUGAAUUUAUUAGAUGUGGGCGGAAUUCGUGGUGUAGCGGUGAAAUGCUUAGAUAUCACGAAGAACACCAAUGGCGAAGGCAGCUCACAAGACUGUAACUGACGCUGAUGCUCGAAAGUGUGGGUAUCAAACAGGAUUAGAUACCCUGGUAGUCCACACAGUAAACGAUGAAUACUCGCUGUUGGCGAUAUACAGUAAGCGGCCAAGCGAAAGCGAUAAGUAAUCCACCUGGGGAGUACGCCGGCAACGGUGA
rnacentral:rRNA from 1 species